rnacentral:lncRNA from 10 species
GCGCUAACUGUGCUCCUCCGGGGCCCUCCGCCUGCUCCCAGCCAUGGUGGCCUGGCGCUCGGCGUUCCUUGUCUGCCUCGCUUUCUCCUUGGCCACCCUGGUCCAGCGAGGAUCUGGGGACUUUGAUGAUUUUAACCUGGAGGAUGCAGUGAAAGAAACUUCCUCAGUAAAGCGUGAGUAGUAAAUCAAAUAAACUAUUAAAAACAAACAGUAGUGAUUAAUGUGUAUCAUCCACUCAGAAUAUAUGCGCAAGAAAAAUGAUAUAUUUUACUUGAUCAGAUGAAAUAUGGAUAGUGCCCGGACACGGUAGCUCACGCCUGUAAUCCCAGCAAUUUGGGAGGCCAAGGUGGGAGGAUCACUUGAGGUCAGAAGUUCGAGACCAGCCUGGCCAACAUGGUGAAACCCUGUCUCUACUAAAAAUACAAAAAUUAGCCGGGUGUGGUAUUGCAUGCCUAUAAUACCAGCUACUCGGGAGGCUGAGGCAGGAGAAUUGCUUGAACCCGGGGGGUGGAGGUUGCAGUGAGCCAAGAUCACACCAUUGCACUCCAGCCUGGGUGAUGAAGCAAGAUCUCCGUCUC